rnacentral:rRNA from 1 species
GACGAACCGUGCGAGCGUUAUUCGGAAUCACUGGGCUUAAAGGGCGCGUAGGCGGGCUGUCAAGUCUGGGGUGAAAUGCCGCGGCUCAACCGUGGAACUGCCUUAGAUACUGACGGCCUCGAGGAAGGUAGGGGCAUGCGGAACUGUAGGUGGAGCGGUGAAAUGCGUUGAUAUCUACAGGAACUCCGGUGGCGAAAGCGGCGUGCUGGACCUUUUCUGACGCUGAGGCGCGAAAGCUAGGGGAGCGAACGGG